AAGCAUCUAAGUGCGAAACUAGCCCGAAGAUGAAUCUUCCACACAAGGGUCGUUGUAGACUACGACGUUGAUAGGCUGCAGGUGUACGUGUAGAAAUACAUUCAGCUGAGCAGUACUAAUUACCCAAUAGCUUGCACAA
rnacentral:rRNA from 1 species